rnacentral:rRNA from 1 species
GUCGGAAUCCGCUAAGGAGUGUGUAACAACUCACCUGCCGAAUGAAUUAGCCCUGAAAAUGGAUGGCGCUGAAGCGGGUAGCCGACACCACGCCGUCUGGGCAACUUUGUUCCCAGAUGAGUAGGAGGACGUGGCGGUUGUAUAGAAGCGUACGCGCGAGCGUGCGUGGAACGGCCGCCAGUGCAGAUCUUGGUGUUAGUAGCAAAUAUUCAAUUGAAAACCUUGAAGGGCGAAGCGGGGAAGGGUUCCACGCGUACAUUGAUUGGGUGUGGGUGAGUCGUUCCUAAGCCGCGUGGCAAUAGCUACAUAUCGGCGAAAGGGAAGCAGGUUGACAUUCCUGCACACGGAUGUGGAUGCGGUGACGCACUUCUGGGGCAGUGAAGCUGGCUUUGGCACUGGGCAGAGAUAUCUUUUCUGUUUAACCGUUAUCGAACGUACUGUGUGGAAUCCGCUUGUCGGGAGAAACACGUGCGGUCGGGCAUAGCGCCGGGAUUUAUCCGGCGUCCAGUUCGCUGAGGACGGACCCUGAAAAACUGCUUGCUGGCACAAUUCCUUGAGAGUUGUGUAUGAAGAAUCCACGCCGUAACGUACCGAUAACCGCAUCAGGUCCCCAAGGUGAACAGCCUCUGCUCGAUAUGAUCAAUGCAGGUAAGGGAAGUCGGCAAAUCAGACCCGUAACUUUGGGAAAAGGGUUGGCUCUAGUGCUGCGUGGGAUUGGUUGUUGUGGCGUUGGGUUGGUUGUUGUUAACGUUGCUGCGGAGUGGGUAGCUCUUCGGGGUGGCUCGCGCUGUGGUGGUGUAGACGGUGACUGAUGCGACCUGCGACGACGCCCACAACA